AGAGUUUGAUCCUGGCUCAGGAUGAACGCUGGCGGCGUGCCUAAUACAUGCAAGUCGAGCGAACGGACGAGAAGCUUGCUUCUCUGAUGUUAGCGGCGGACGGGUGAGUAACACGUGGAUAACCUACCUAUAAGACUGGGAUAACUUCGGGAAACCGGAGCUAAUACCGGAUAAUAUUUUGAACCGCAUGGUUCAAAAGUGAAAGACGGUCUUGCUGUCACUUAUAGAUGGAUCCGCGCUGCAUUAGCUAGUUGGUAAGGUAACGGCUUACCAAGGCAACGAUGCAUAGCCGACCUGAGAGGGUGAUCGGCCACACUGGAACUGAGACACGGUCCAGACUCCUACGGGAGGCAGCAGUAGGGAAUCUUCCGCAAUGGGCGAAAGCCUGACGGAGCAACGCCGCGUGAGUGAUGAAGGUCUUCGGAUCGUAAAACUCUGUUAUUAGGGAAGAACAUAUGUGUAAGUAACUGUGCACAUCUUGACGGUACCUAAUCAGAAAGCCACGGCUAACUACGUGCCAGCAGCCGCGGUAAUACGUAGGUGGCAAGCGUUAUCCGGAAUUAUUGGGCGUAAAGCGCGCGUAGGCGGUUUUUUAAGUCUGAUGUGAAAGCCCACGGCUCAACCGUGGAGGGUCAUUGGAAACUGGAAAACUUGAGUGCAGAAGAGGAAAGUGGAAUUCCAUGUGUAGCGGUGAAAUGCGCAGAGAUAUGGAGGAACACCAGUGGCGAAGGCGACUUUCUGGUCUGUAACUGACGCUGAUGUGCGAAAGCGUGGGGAUCAAACAGGAUUAGAUACCCUGGUAGUCCACGCCGUAAACGAUGAGUGCUAAGUGUUAGGGGGUUUCCGCCCCUUAGUGCUGCAGCUAACGCAUUAAGCACUCCGCCUGGGGAGUACGACCGCAAGGUUGAAACUCAAAGGAAUUGACGGGGACCCGCACAAGCGGUGGAGCAUGUGGUUUAAUUCGAAGCAACGCGAAGAACCUUACCAAAUCUUGACAUACUUUGACAACUCUAGAGAUAGAGCCUUCCCCUUCGGGGGACAAAGUGACAGGUGGUGCAUGGUUGUCGUCAGCUCGUGUCGUGAGAUGUUGGGUU
rnacentral:rRNA from 1 species